UAGUUGUGAAAGUGUCGCCUCAUGCUCGUGCAAUACGGGAUGUAGAAGAUGAGGAGUUACGAAGUUUUUUCUAUGGAAUGUCUCCAUGGCAGUUUAUAAUGAUAGUUGCAGCAAGCUCAGUUGGUGAGGAGUUAUUUUACCGCGCUGCUGUUCAGGGUGCAUUAGCAGAGGUGUUUUUGAGGUGGAAUGAUCUUG